rnacentral:rRNA from 1 species
CGGUUUAAGCGUGUAGGUGUGUGUUCCAGGUAAAUCCGGUUCACUUUAACACUGAGGCGUGAUGACGAGGCGCUACGGUGCUGAAGCAACAAAUGCCCUGCUUCCAGGAAAAGCCUCUAAGCAUCAGGUAACAUCAAAUCGUACCCCAAACCGACACAGGUGGUCAGGUAGAGAAUACCAAGGCGCUUGAGAGAACUCGGGUGAAGGAACUAGGCAAAAUGGUGCCGUAACUUCGGGAGAAGGCACGCUGACACGUAGGUGAAGUGAUUUACUCAUGGAGCUGAAGUCAGUCGAAGAUACCAGCUGGCUGCAACUGUUUAUUAAAAACACAGCACUGUGCAAACACGAAAGUGGACGUAUACGGUGUGACGCCUGCCCGGUGCCGGAAGGUUAAUUGAUGGGGUCAGCGCAAGCGAAGCUCCUGAUCGAAGCCCCGGUAAACGGCGGCCGUAACUAUAACGGUCCUAAGGUAGCGAAAUUCCUUGUCGGGUAAGUUCCGACCUGCACGAAUGGCGUAAUGAUGGCCAGGCUGUCUCCACCCGAGACUCAGUGAAAUUGAACUCGCUGUGAAGAUGCAGUGUACCCGCGGCAAGACGGAAAGACCCCGUGAACCUUUACUAUAGCUUGACACUGAACAUUGAGCCUUGAUGUGUAGGAUAGGUGGGAGGCUUUGAAGUGUGGACGCCAGUCUGCAUGGAGCCGACCUUGAAAUACCACCCUUUAAUGUUUGAUGUUCUAACGUGGACCCGUGAUCCGGGUUGCGGACAGUGUCUGGUGGGUAGUUUGACUGGGGCGGUCUCCUCCUAAAGAGUAACGGAGGAGCACGAAGGUUGGCUAAUCCUGGUCGGACAUCAGGAGGUUAGUGCAAUGGCAUAAGCCAGCUUGACUGCGAGCGUGACGGCGCGAGCAGGUGCGAAAGCAGGUCAUAGUGAUCCGGUGGUUCUGAAUGGAAGGGCCAUCGCUCAACGGAUAAAAGGUACUCCGGGGAUAACAGGCUGAUACCGCCCAAGAGUUCAUAUCGACGGCGGUGUUUGGCACCUCGAUGUCGGCUCAUCACAUCCUGGGGCUGAAGUAGGUCCCAAGGGUAUGGCUGUUCGCCAUUUAAAGUGGUACGCGAGCUGGGUUUAGAACGUCGUGAGACAGUUCGGUCCCUAUCUGCCGUGGGCGCUGGAGAACUGAGGGGGGCUGCUCCUAGUACGAGAGGACCGGAGUGGACGCAUCACUGGUGUUCGGGUUGUCAUGCCAAUGGCACUGCCCGGUAGCUAAAUGCGGAAGAGAUAAGUGCUGAAAGCAUCUAAGCACGAAACUUGCCCCGAGAUGAGUUCUCCCUGAGACUUUAGGUCUCCUGAAGGAACGUUGAAGACGACGACGUUGAUAGGCCGGGUGUGUAAGCGCAGCGAUGCGUUGAGCUAACCGGUACUAAUGAACCGUGAGGCUUAACCUUACA